rnacentral:rRNA from 1 species
AUUGAACGCUGGCGGCAGGCCUAACACAUGCAAGUCGAGCGGAGCGGCGGCCGGGUGCGGGUGACUUAGGUAUGUGCCUGGUAGUGGGGGAUAACGUUAGGUAACGGGAGCUAAUACUGCAUACUAUCAGCAGCGCCUAGGUCGGAUUAGCAAGUGGGUGGGGUAAAGGUCUACCAAGGCGACGAUCCCUAACUGGUCUGAGAGGAUGAUCAGUCACACUGGAACUGAGACACGGUCCAGACUCCUACGGUAGGCAGCAGUGGGGAAUAUUGGACAAUGGGCGAAAGCCUGAUCCAGCCAUGCCGCGUGUAUGAAGAAGGCCUUCGGAUUGUAAAGCACUUUAAGUUGGGAGGCGUUACCAACAGAAUAAGCACCGGCUAACUCCGUGCCAGCAGCCGCGGUAAUUC